rnacentral:rRNA from 1 species
ACCUGCGGAAGGAUCAUUACCGAGUGAGGGCCCUCUGGGUCCUACCUCCCACCCGUGUUUAUCGUACCUUGUUGCUUCGGCGGGCCCGCCUCACGGCCGCCGGGGGGCAUCCGCCCCCGGGCCCGCGCCCGCCGAAGACACACAAACGAACUCUUGUCUGAAGAUUGCAGUCUGAGUACUUGACUAAAUCAGUUAAAACUUUCAACAACGGAUCUCUUGGUUCCGGCAUCGAUGAAGAACGCAGCGAAAUGCGAUAAGUAAUGUGAAUUGCAGAAUUCAGUGAAUCAUCGAGUCUUUGAACGCACAUUGCGCCCCCUGGUAUUCCGGGGGGCAUGCCUGUCCGAGCGUCAUUGCUGCCCUCAAGCACGGCUUGUGUGUUGGGCUCUCGCCCCCCGCUUCCGGGGGGCGGGCCCGAAAGGCAGCGGCGGCACCGCGUCCGGUCCUCGAGCGUAUGGGGCUUCGUCACCCGCUCUGUAGGCCCGGCCGGCGCCCGCCGGCGAACACCAUCAAUCUUAACCAGGUGACCUCGAUCAGGUAGGGAUACCCGCUGAACUUAAGCAUAUCAAUAAGCGGAGGA